rnacentral:rRNA from 1 species
AGCGAACGCUGGCGGCAGGCCUAACACAUGCAAGUCGAACGAACCUUUCGGGGUUAGUGGCGGACUGGUGAGUAACACGUGGGAACGUGCCUUUAGGUUCGGAAUAACUCAGGGAAACUUGUGCUAAUACCGAAUGUGCCCUUCGGGGGAAAGAUUUAUCGCCUUUAGAGCGGCCCGCGUCUGAUUAGCUAGUUGGUUGAGGUAAUGGCUCACCAAGGCGACGAUCAGUAGCUGGUCUGAGAGGAUGAUCAGCCACAUUGGGACUGAGACACGGCCCAAACUCCUACGGGAGGCAGCAGUGGGGAAUCUUGCGCAAUGGGCGAAAGCCUGACGCAGCCAUGCCGCGUGAAUGAUGAAGGUCUUAGGAUUGUAAAAUUCUUUCACCGGGGACGAUAAUGACGGUACCCGGAGAAGAAGCCCCGGCUAACUUCGUG